rnacentral:rRNA from 1 species
UACGAAGGGGGCUAGCGUUGUUCGGAAUGACUGGGCGUAAAGGGCGCGUAGGCGGCUUGCACCGUCAGAUGUGAAAUUCCUGGGCUUAACCUGGGGGCUGCAUUUGAUACGUGUGGGCUUGAGUGCGGAAGAGGGUCGUGGAAUUCCCAGUGUAGAGGUGAAAUUCGUAGAUAUUGGGAAGAACACCGGUGGCGAAGGCGGCGACCUGGUCCGUGACUGACGCUGAGGCGCGAAAGCGUGGGGAGCAAACAGG